rnacentral:rRNA from 1 species
GACGAACGCUGGCGGCGUGCUUAACACAUGCAAGUCGAACGGAAAGGCCCUGCUUUUGUGGGGUGCUCGAGUGGCGAACGGGUGAGUAACACGUGAGUGACCUGCCCUUGACUUUGGGAUAACUUCAGGAAACUGGGGCUAAUACCGGAUAGGAGCUCCUGCUGCAUGGUGGGGGUUUGAAAGUUUCGGCGGUUGGGGAUGGACUCGCGGCUUAUCAGCUUGUUGGUGGGGUAGUGGCUUUCCAAGGCUUUGACGGGUAGCCGGCCUGAGAGGGUGACCGGCCACAUUGGGACUGAGAUACGGCCCAGACUCCUACGGGAGGCAGCAGUGGGGAAUAUUGCACAAUGGGCGGAAGCCUGAUGCAGCAACGCCGCGUGCGGGAUGACGGCCUUCGGGUUGUAAACCGCUUUCGCCUGUGACGAAGCGUGAGUGACGGUAAUGGGUAAAGAAGCACCGGCUAACUACGUG